UGUUUCAUCUUUCUUCUUACAUCAUGGGAAAAACUACUUGGAAAGUAAGAGAUGUGAGUGUGGGUAUGAAACGGAAGAUAUCGAUCACAUCGUGUGGCGUUGCCAUCGAUUCGACGAGCAGAGAGUAAGGUUAGGUCUAUGGCGUACACUGGUCUCUGGGAUGCCAGUGCAUCCAAAUUUAAACACCAGAAUGCUACUCCAGCUCCCAAGCCGUGUAAUAAAACCUUCGUAUCGGCACCUUCGGCGACUCUUCAUUCAGCGAAACGGUCCAUAUCUUGUCUGUCGGCCCCAUAACCGGCCCAAUAUCAACGUACUAUCCUCGAUACGCAGUCUUAAAGCCUGCAACGUCAACAUACAAAUGUAAUCUUCUUCUCCGCGGCGCGCAACAUAGUCGAAGAUGAUCCAGACCAACUAAACCAUCCCCAAAUCCAGCUGCUGAAACGAUAAGGUUGAUUAUUUAUCUCUCAGUAUUUGAAGAUGCUUGUCUCAAAUUAUUCAAGCGCACGUCAGUAAAAUUGAGAUGAGUCAACGUUAGAAAACGAUUUGUGUCAAAUCAUGUUUCUAUCUCGAGACAGGUAUAGACGGCGCGAAUAGUGUAUUAAUAGCGAUUAUAUCACAUCCCAAUUAUUACGUUUCGCGUAAUCGCCACGUGAAACGCAAAAUGUCUAUUAGCGGCGAGUUGGCCUUCAAGCGCCGAGCAACAUUUCGAAACCUGCCCGCGCAUCGUUAAAAACCAAACGUUAAAACGAUUCGAGUGUAACCUGCACACGUUUUAUCGGCGUUCAACUCAAUUGUCUCUUCGCGCGACGACGAUCCGUUCUCUUGUCCUCUUUCCGCCAAGUGACGUAACGUCGCGAUGCAAUCACAACGCGUUCAAAAUCGCGACGCAAUCGACGAAUUGUAACGGAACUUUCUCGAGCCACAUUCGCUUACCUCUUCGCCUGGACGACCUCGUGAUCUGCAAUGGGUGCGAGACGACAACGACGACGAUGACAACGGUGAUGGGGCUCCUCCUUGCCGCUCUGCCGUCGCGACCGGGCCCCCUUUGUCGUUGGCAAAUGCGGAAAAACACGCGUGUGCUGUAACGCGCGCGCGAUACUAUUAUCUAGCAGAAGCGUCUGAAUCUGAAUGAACGAUGGCUCGGCAAGUGCUUGACUUCACUCAUGACGAGUUCGCGGAGAGCAACGGAGAGCGUGGAGUGCGACGGUGGUCGCGGGGUGGGGAGAAAUCAGCUGAUAUCGGAACGCGUGCGCGCGCGCGGCAGAUUUCUGGAGCGUGUCGGCAAAGCGCAUAGCAAGACAGGAUGUCGCUAAAUUUGCGUCUAUCUCUUGCUCUCGAAAUCCUAUCGGGGUCGCAAUUAUAAUACUGGCAACGAUUGGAAAACAGGUCAAACCGAUUUAAUUAUCAACAAUGUUUGGCACUAGAAAAAGGAAGGCACCGGCACCGUGUUCCUUCCGAUCGAAGUACAGACACUGUUGCAUUUCUUUUAUAAUAGUUUUUUUAUAGCAGGACUUUGUUAAACUUAAUCUAUAAUAUGCUCUUUAUUAUCUGUUAGUACAUUUCAAGAUUUAUAUCUAUCUGGAAGAUUACAUGUAUGUUGUCCAUGUUAUGUUCAUUUUAAUAGUGUUUUUCGUUACACAUGUUUCCUGUCUCUUUCAGAAUUCGCAUUAAAGCUGUACUCACCAGAGAGAGAGAGAGAGAGAGAGAGAGAGAGAGAGAGAGAGAAAGAGAGAGAGGGAGGCAGGGAGGGAGAUUAACGUAUACAAAAUUAAUCAAAAAGAUUUUUAUUCUUACUUUUAAAUCGAAUCUGUAGACGACUUUACAAUGAUCAUAAUCAAAUUUGACUGCAAUUUUUCCAACUGAUUUAUGAUUUUUGUUAAAUAUUUUUCUAUUUGCAGACGUUCGGACUGUAUUUUUAUUAACUCGAAUAUCUUUACAAAGUAUCCAUCUAACACAGAACAUUCUAAUAAUGUUGCAGCAACUUCAAUAUUUGUUAUAAUGUUGCUGCAAUAUUGCUGAAAUGUUAUUUUGUAUUCUGUACUAUAUGAGACUUUACUUGACAUAAUAUUUUAAUUAGAGAUAUAAUAAACUUAGAUUUAAAAAUAAAUAAAUAAAAUGAUCUAUAAGUCUCAUUGUUUUCUAAUUAAUAUAUAAUUAUAAAUUUUACUUUAUUUCAUUACAUUUUUGUUUAUAAUAUAUAUUUCUUGAAAAUAUCUAGGUUUUCUUUUAUCCAGUACUUCUCACAUGGAAUAUAGGCAUCUGUUAAUUUUUGUUUUACCAAACAAAACAUAUCCAUUAGUUCGAUGAACGAAUAUAGCGCACCCCAGUAAGAAUCCUUAAGUGGAACAUUUAAUUUUUGAUUCUUCAGAUUGUCUUCGAACAAUUUACAAAUACCUGUAAUAAACAAAUGAUAUAUUACAAAUAAUUGAUAUAAACAAAUGAUAUGCAAAAAAUAAAACAAAUAUUAAACGAA